rnacentral:rRNA from 2 species
UGGGGAAUAUUGCACAAUGGGGGAAACCCUGAUGCAGCGACGCCGCGUGAGCGAAGAAGGUUUUCGAAUCGUAAAGCUCUGUCCUAUGGGAAGAUAAUGACGGUACCAUAGGAGGAAGCCCCGGCUAACUGCGUGCCAGCAGCCGCGGUAAUACGUAGGGGGCAAGCGUUGUCCGGAAUCACUGGGCGUAAAGGGUUCGCAGGCGGAAAUGCAAGUCAGUUGUGAAAGGCAGAGGCUCAACCUCUGUAAGCAAUUGAAACUGUAUUUCUUGAGAUGUGGAGAGGCAAGUGGAAUUCCUAGUGUAGCGGUGAAAUGCGUAGAUAUUAGGAAGAAUACCGGUGGCGAAGGCGACUUGCUGGACACAAACUGACGCUGAGGAACGAAAGCGUGGGUAGCAAACAGG